GUCUAUGGCCAUACCACCUGUCUGUGCCUGAUGUUGUCCAAACUCAGAAGCUAAGCACAGUCAGAGUAUGGUUAGCUUAUGACCACAAACU
ensembl:rRNA 5S_rRNA 5S ribosomal RNA